rnacentral:rRNA from 1 species
UACAGAGGCCCCGAGCGUUAAUCGGAAUCACUGGGCUUAAAGGGUGCGUAGGCGGGCCAGUAAGCGCUUUGUGAAAUCCCACGGCUCAACCGUGGAACCGCAGGGCGAACUGCUGGUCUUGAGGAAGCUAGAGGCGGGUAGAACGAUAGGUGGAGCGGUGGAAUGCGUAGAGAUCUAUCGGAAUGCCGAAAGUGAAGACAGCCCGCUGGGGCUUUCCUGACGCUAAAGCACGAAAGCGUGGGGAGCAAACCGG